UGGAAGAUCGCCGUGUCCGUGUUUCUGCGCUCUCUGACAUCUGCAUUCAUUCUCCAGAGCAGAUAUUUCUCUCUGAUUUUCAUCAUUCACUGGAGCUAUGGCAGCUCUGAAGUACGCCGGUAUGGACGAUACAGAUAGUGAGGAUGAGUUACCACCUGGAUGGGAGGAGAGGUCUACUAAAGAUGGUUGGGUCUACUAUGCAAAUCAUGAUGAGAUGAAGACACAGUGGGAACACCCCAAGACAGGAAAGAAGAAACGUUGUGCUGGAGACUUACCAUAUGGUUGGGAGCAGGAAACUGAUGAAAAAGGACAGAUAAUUUACAUUGAUCACAUUAACAAGCGGAGCACAUAUUUUGAUCCACGUCACGCAUUUACAGUAGAGGAUGUGGUGGUGAAGCCGAAGCGGUACGAUGGAAACACUGCUGCUCUCGAGAUCCUGCAGGGUCGUGACCUCUCUGACAAGGUUGUCCUCAUUACCGGAGGCAAUGCGGGCAUUGGCUUUGAGACAGCCAGGUCUUUUGCUCUUCAUGGCGCCCAUGUGAUCCUGGCUUGUCGAAACCUGACCCGUGCCAACAAGGCGGUGAGCCUCAUUCAGGAAGAGUGGCACAAAGCGAGAGUUGAAGCAAUGAUGUGCAACCUGGCUUCUCUGCGCAGCGUCAGGGAAUUUGCUGAAUCUUUCAAAGCAAUGAAGCUGCCGCUGCACAUUCUGGUGUGUAACGCAGCAGUGUGCACUCAGCCCUAUAUGCUGACUGAAGACAACCUGGAGUCCACCUUCCAGAUCUGCCAUCUGGGUCACUUCCUGCUAGUGCAAUGUCUACAAGACGUGCUGCGUCGUUCAGCCCCAGCACGUGUCGUGGUGGUUUCCUCUGAGUCACAUAGGUUCACAGACCUCCUAGACUCAUGUGGCAAAGUGGACCUGGAGCUGCUGUCCCCUUCAAAGAAGGACUAUUGGUCCAUGCUGGCUUACAACCGCGCCAAACUCUGCAACAUCCUCUUCAGCAACGAGCUCCACCGGCGGCUUUCGCCUUACGGCGUCACCUCCAACGCAUUGCAUCCUGGGAACAUGAUGUACACCUCCAUACACCGGAGCUGGUGGCUGAUGACCUUUCUCUUCACGUUGGUCAGACCUUUCACAAAGUCUAUGCAACAAGGGGCGGCCACCACAGUGUACUGUGCGGUAGCACCGGAGCUGGAAGGGCUGGGCGGCAUGUACUUCAACAACUGCUUCCGCUGCCAGACAUCCGCCCAGGCCCAGGAUCCGAGCAGUGCUGCCAGCCUGUGGGAGCUGAGCGAGCGCCUGGUCGCAGAGAGGUCAGUGGGCAUACAGGCCCUCUAAUGGACAGAAGACGAAGAGGAAGAGGAGGGCAACUAGCCAAAGAGGAAUCAGAAAGGAAACAGCUGAUGUUUCGUUAGGUGUGGACUAACUGUAAGAGCUGCCAAACCAUGGAAGCCCAUCUGGAUAUGUCACAUCACUACAGCGUCUAAAACACUAAAUAUACAGCACAGGAGGGGAUUUCAUAUACAAUCUAUUGAAUUAGUUAAAGUUUAAGUGAAGUUAAGCUCUGCUGUAGUAUUUUAAAACCGGGAGUGGGGGAAAGGUGAAGAUCUGAGCCGAACCUGUCAGUUUGUUCUUUGUCUGUGUGUCUCUGUAACCUUUUUAAGCUCUAAAGUCCUUUUUUUCUCAAACGUCUACUUAAAUUAGAUGUAAACAAAAUGCAAACGACCUGUUUUGAUAACAAUACAAGGUUUAACUAGUAAGCAUACACUCUACGGCAUAUGCAUCUGAUUCCAGCAAUAGUGGGCUAUCAGCAAAUAUAAUGUCUUCCCAAUUAAUGUCUCUAAGUUCAGUAUCCUCUUGUCUAGUUCUAUGUUGGUGUUUAUGUUUCCUAUUCUGAUACAGAGCGUUUGCUAAUCGUUGUGCUAAAUCUUUUUGGGCAAGAAGAAAUAAAUAGUAAUGGGCAUGUGAAACUUAUUGAAUUACAAACACAGUAGAGGUGUGAUUCUAAUGGCUAUGUACACAAUUUUGCAAUAAUUAUAUUUCUUAUCAACGUCCCUAUUUGUUUUCUGUACAGUAUUUACAACAUCCUGAUUUCUGGCCAUGUGCUAAAGGGUGGGGGGGUGGACAUCAUAUUUUUUUCUGCUAUUUUACUCAACCUAAGUAUUGACAAUCUAUGCUCUGGUAAGUUACAAUUUGGAGAUAUUUACGGGUUAAUCUUUGUCCAUUUGAAUGACAAAUACAGAAGGUGGAGAAUUUUAUUUACAGAGUCCAGGAUCUUUAAUUUCUUCAGUUCUCCUUUUUUUUUGUUUUGUUUUUAAAUCAUCCGCUUUAGUAUUGAACUCCGGCUUUGGAUUUGCUGUGGAUUGGUUGCCCUGAAGCCACAGGGGGUGGGACGCUUUUGAGACAUUGUGCUUUAUGGCAGUCCGGAUGCCGUAGGUUGGUCUUGAAACAGCAUUCCAGUGUCAUGAUAUCUGCAAAAAAACACACAAAGAGAGAACAAGUCAAUAAAAAUCUGUUGUACAGAAAUAUGUGAAUUUCUUCUAUAGAAGUCCAUUCAUCUGAAGACCAUUAGGGGGAUAUUUGUGUGGGAAGCUGAGAAGUAAGCAACAAGUCUAAGUACGACAGUUUCCAGUUUUCCAGAAUGUACUAACCAGACAUACUGAAGAGAAGAAAAAAACCCCAGGAACAGACAGAACAUUCAGAAACAUGCUGUGCCCUGCACAGAAACUGAUACUGCUGUUAUAAUCUGUUCUGUACCCAGAGUACAGGUGUCUUAUCGCUGUCCUUUCACAGCACUGCACACACCUGGAACAGAGAUGCAGUACAAACACUCACAUGCACGCACACACAGAGCAGGAACAGUCAGCAACCCGCAUGUACAGUACAGCAAGCAAAACAACAUUUUAUUAAACUGUCCAGAAUCUUUUUGCCUCUUUAUUUUGCAUCAGAUUGAACAAAUGGUAUAAAUAACGUGUGUUUUAAAAUUGUUUUAGUGUCUGAAAAAACUAAAAAUACAGAAAUCUGUCAUACACAGACGAGGAGUUGAACAGUAAUAAAGGAUGUUCCCAGCUGCUGUCCAUGGUGCUGAUAAGGCUCAGGCCCUUUCAUGGCCAUACUUUGGCAAACAUGAGAAUUCGCCUACUUGUCAAUCAGUUACAGAGCAUUUUGUGUAUGUGCUGACAUGAGCCUCUGUGAGAGACGUUUUCCUCUUCCCGAGUGUGUGACUGAUCAAGUCGUGAGCAGACGUACUCGCCAGUGUGUUAAGCACGUCAGCUGUUUAGUUUCCCUCUGUGUUUUAUUUUGAUUUAGUUGGUCUGUCCUGAUGUGUUCCGUUGUUUUGUCUUUGUUGACUUCAUAUGUGGUUUAUUAAAAUUGUUUGGGGUUUUUUUUGCUCUAUUGCGUCUCUAAAAAUUAAGUCUCACUUCUUGUUCUCACACUUCACCUCUACUGAAAUAUAAUCUUAUUCAAAGGGAUUCUGACUUGUUCAAAUAGUUAUGUUAUUGUAGGCUCUUAUAGCCUCCUGAAAUGAUCUUAAAGAGUGUAAUUCUAAACCUGGGACUUCUGUAAUGUUAGC